rnacentral:rRNA from 1 species
GAUCCUGGCUUAGGAUGAACGCUGGCGGCGUGCCUAAUACAUGCAAGUCGAACGAGGUAGCAAUACCGAGUGGCGAACGGGUGAGUAACACGUAGGUAACCUGCCUUACAGUUGGGAUACCCUGGCGAAAGCUAGGCUAAUACCGAAUAAUUGGAUUGGAGGCAUCUCCGAUCUCUAAAAGGGGCCCUUAAAGCCUCGCUGAAUGAUGGACCUGCGGCGCAUUAGCUAGUUGGUGAGAUAAUAGCCCACCAAGGCGAGGAUGCGUAGCCGACCUGAGAGGGUGAACGGCCACACUGGAACUGAGACACGGUCCAGACUCCUACGGGAGGCAGCAGUAGGGAGUUUUCGGCAAUGGGGGCAACCCUGACCGAGCAACGCCGCGUGAAUGAAUGAAGGUCUUCGGAUUGUAAAGUUCUGUUAUAAGGGAAAAAUGAUAGGGUGAGGAAAUGCUCUCUAUUUGAUGGUACCUUAUUAGAAAGCCACGGCUAACUACGUGCCAGCAGCGGC